rnacentral:rRNA from 1 species
AAUCAACGCUGGCGGCGUGCCUAACACAUGCAAGUCGCACGAGAAAGGGACUUCGGUCCUGAGUACAGUGGCGCACGGGUGAGUAACACGUGAAUCAUCUACCUUCGAGUGGGGAAUAACUGAGAGAAAUCUUAGCUAAUACCGCAUAAUACCUACGGGUCAAAGCAGCAAUGCGCUUGAAGAGGAGUUCGCGGCCGAUUAGCUAGUUGGCGGGGUAAUGGCCCACCAAGGCGAUGAUCGGUAUCCGGCCUGAGAGGGCGCACGGACACACUGGAACUGAAACACGGUCCAGACUCCUACGGGAGGCAGCAGUGGGGAAUUUUGCGCAAUGGGGGAAACCCUGACGCAGCAACGCCGCGUGGAGGAUGAAGUAUCUUGGUACGUAAACUCCUUUCGAUGGGGACGAUGAUGACGGUACCCAUAGAAGAAGCCCCGGCUAACUUCGUGCCAGCAGCCGCGGUAAUACGAGGGGGGCAAGCGUUGUUCGGAUUUAUUGGGCGUAAAGGGUGCGUAGGCGGUUUGGCAAGUCUUGUGUGAAAUCGAUGGGCUCAACCCAUCGUCUGCACGAGAAACUACCG